AUGGAAGCCUGCGCCUCCACCAGCCGCGUCCUCCUCCCUUUCCCUCCCCGCGCCGCGCGGCCGGCGGCGGCCGCCUGCCCCCGGCGCCGCCGGGCGGUGGCCGGCCGGAGGAGAGGUGUGCGGCUGGCCCCGGCCCGCGCGUCGCUCGACAGCGCCGCGGUGCUCCUCGACGCCGCCGUCGGGGCGGGGACGGGGUACUCGCAGGCCAGCUACUACACCUCGCUGGGCCUCUUCGUGCUCUCCGUGCCGGGGCUCUGGUCGCUCAUCAAGCGCUCCGUCAAGUCCAAGAUUGUGCAGAAGACGUUCGUCAGGGAGGAAGGGCAGCCGACGGCGCCGAGCCUGGUGGCCGGGGAGAUCCUGUCCUUCUUCACGCGCAACAGUUUCGCCGUCUCUGACCGUGGCGAGGUCAUCACCUUCGAGGGCUCAAUGACACCAAGCAGCGCUCAGGCAGCACUGCUGACCUUCUGCACCGUCAUUAGCCUGGGGAGCGUCGGGCUUGUUCUGUCGAUCGCGGUCCCAGAAGGCGGCAACAACUGGUUCUGGCUUAUGACCUUAAGCCCCUUGGCGGGAGUGUACUACUGGACAAAAGCAUCGAGGAAAGAGGAGAUCAAGGUGAAGAUGGUCUUGUCCGACGAUGGGAACAGCGUGUCCGAGAUUCUGGUGCGGGGCGACGAUGUGCAGGUCGAGCAGAUGAGGAGGGAGCUCAAGAUGAGCGAGAAGGGGAUGAUAUACGUGAAGGGGAUAUUCGAGACAUGA
rnacentral:rRNA from 1 species